rnacentral:rRNA from 1 species
UCCGUAGGUGAACCUGCGGAAGGAUCAUUAACUAUAUAUCUGCGGACAAAUGUCUGCAUAAACCUUGUGAAUUGGCACUGCUUAGCGGUGUUUAAGUAAACUUUAAACGAGACAUACAAUAAUAUAAUAAUAUUAAUAACUUUUGACAACGGAUCUCUAGGCUCUUGCAACGAUGAAGAACGCAGUGAAAUGCGAUAAGUAAUGUGACUUGCAUUAAUCUGUGAAUCAUUGAAUUUUUGAACGCACUUUGCACUCCCCCCUUAAAGGGGAGUAUACUUGUUGGAGUAUCAUAUAAAACAAACCAACCGCAUGUUGGGAGUGUGAGGUUUUUUUCGCGAGGAAAUGCCUUUAAAUGGAUGAAUCCUAAAGUGUGGUAAAAGACUUGUUCUUUCCCAUUGACAAAGAUUAUCUUGAACACUGAUCUCCAAUCAAGUAAGACUACCCGCUGAACUUAAGCAUAUCAGUAAGCGGAGGAAAGGAAACUAACAAGGAUUCCCCUAGUAACGGCGAGUGAAGCGGGAAAAGCUCAAAUUUAAAAGCUGGGAGGUUCCCUCUCCGCAUUGUAAUUUAUAGAGGCGUUUUCUUGAGUGGGCAUUGGCACAAGUUCUUUGGAACAAGGCAUCAUAGAGGGUGAGAAUCCCGUCCAUGGUCCUUGCCCUACUCUGAUAAGAUACGUUCUCCAAGAGUCGUGUUGUUUGGGAUUACAGCACUAACUGGGCGGUAAAUUUCAUCUAAAGCUAAAUAUUGGCAAGAGACCGAUAGCGAACAAGUACCGUGAGGGAAAGAUGAAAAGGACUUUGAAAAGAGAGUUAAAUAGUACGUGAAAUUGUUAAAAGGGAAACGCUUGAAGU